AGCAGCCGCGGUAAUUCCAACUCCAAUAGCGUAUAUUAAAGUUGUUGCAGUUAAAAAGCUCGUAGUUGAAUUUCGGGACCAAUAUGUCGGUCGUGCUUCGGUACGUACUUGCAUUAUUGGUUUCUCCCUUCUGAAGAACCUUGAUGUCAUUAAUUUGGUGUCUUGGGGAAUCAGGACUGUUACUUUGAAAAAAUUAGAGUGUUUAAAGCAGGCUCACGCUUGAAUACAUUAGCGUGGAAUAAUGAAAUAGGACGUUUGAUUCUAUUUUGUUGGUUUCUAGGAUCGACGUAAUGAUUAAUAGGGAUAGUUGGGGGCAUUAGUAUUCAAUUGUCAGAGGUGAAAUUCUUGGAUUUAUUGAAGACUAACUACUGCGAAAGCAUUUGCCAAGGAUGUUUUCAUUAAUCAAGAACGAAAGUUAGGGGAUCGAAGACGAUCAGAUACCGUCGUAGUCUUAACCAUAAACUAUGCCGACUAGGGAUCGGAUGAUGUAUUUUUGAUGACUCAUUCGGCGCCUUACGGA
rnacentral:rRNA from 1 species